CAAUCAGAGUCAGGAAAUAAAAGGCACCUGUGAGCCUCUGCUCUUUCUCUGCCUGCCUCAUGCCCUGUCCCUGCUGUGGCUGCACCUUGUUGCACUUAGGGUCAAGGACUUCUCUCCUGCCAUCCCAUUUAUUACGUAGGCCUAGAGGUGGUCCUCCUGCCCCAUAUUGACUACUGCUGCUUUGCCUACUUGCCCUUUUAAUUUAUUCCCUUUUUUUUCCUUUCAUUUAUGGUUUUCUUUUGCCUUAUUUGUUUACUAAUUUGCCCUUUGUUAUGCCCAGGUGUUGUUUAUUUGCCCAUUUAGUUAACAGCUGGGAUACUUAUUUAUGUUGUGAGUUGUUUUCUGUAAGUUUUCCUUUAUUUCAGGUGUGGAGUGCCAUAUUGUUGAGGGGCUAGGCACUUGUGGUGAGGUCCCUACACUUUUUUGCGUGUGAGUAGUUGCACUGGGACACCAUAGACUGCACUGUUGUUUUGUGUGAGGUUUGCUGUGUUUGCUGUGUUCACUGGAGAAUAGCGGUAGCACUCCUAGGCACCCCUCCGUGUAGUCUGCCUCUCACAAGUGGCCUCCUCUCCUUUUUCUAUGUAGUUUCAGUUAAGUUGGGCGGUGUUUUACCUUUUGUACUUGUCUUUUUUAGAAUUUAUAUUCAGGCCUUUUUAGUAUUCAUUGUAAUAAAGUAAUUUUUCAAUUGUGUAUAGUUGUGCUGUUUUUACUAUUUCUUCUUUUCUGCAGCUCCAGCCCCUGCCUUUUGGUUUUGAUUAUUUUUGCUUAUUUUUAAUAAAAUUUAUGUUAAUUGUCAAUACUCGCCUCUGCCUCCUAAUUGGAAACGAACCUGUGUGUCCUUUUUGUAUUUCCUGGGGUGAAACUCCCCAGGUGGCGUUGUCUGGCUUUCCAUUUUCCUCAUAGUAAUAUUAACCUAUAACUUCAAUCUACCCUCCUACACUCUGCCACAAACAGAGUCCAGGAAGUCGGCACAGGUUGAGUUGAACUGGUAGAUUAAUUCUUCCGUGAGCGGAGGGAGGAUGGAGGGAUGUGAGGGAGCUGCAGGCAUCCCCUCACUAAACAGGUGCACAGUUCCAUUAUGCACACCCCAAACACAUAUAUAUGUAUAUAUCAGAUUAAGAUGUGGUAUUUAUGCAGUUGUUGUGAUUGUGAUUGUGAUUGUGGCAGUCUGCUAAAGACGGAUCCUAUUUAGUGGAUUGGUACACACACACAGUUGGGUUAUUUUCAGGUGUUUUCUUUUGUUAUGUUGUGAAUUUGGUCCUGAUCUCUCUCUCUCUCUGAGGUGGUGCCUGGGAUCAACAUCCUCAUGGAGGCGCGCCCAUGAGAGGGUUGCUGAUGAGGGUCUGGUGUGCGCAAUCAGCCUCAUUGGAGCAAGCCAAGUGAACUGAAGAGAGGGGGGAGGUUGGGAAGGAGUUAUUUUGUUGAUUU